UACGGGGGGGGCAAGCGUUGUUCGGAAUUACUGGGCGUAAAGGGCUCGUAGGCGGCCAACUAAGUCGGAUGUGAAAUCCCCAGGCUCAACUUGGGAACUGCAUCCGAUACUGGAUGGCUUGAAUUCGGGAGAGGGAUGCAGAAUUCCAGGUGUAGCGGUGAAAUGCGUAGAUAUCUGGAGGAACACCAGAGGCGAAGGCGGCUACCUGGACAAUUGCUGACACUCAGGCACGAAAGCGUGGGGAGCAAAAGGG
rnacentral:rRNA from 1 species